rfam:Macaca mulatta chromosome 17, whole genome shotgun sequence.
AUCAUCUGAGGAUCUUGUUAAAAUGCUGAUUCUGAUUCUGUAGAUCUAGGGUGAGAUUCAAGAUCCUGCAUUUGUAGCAAGUUUCCAGGUGAUGCCAA